CAGCCGCCACGGGAAUACGUAGGGUGCAAGCGUUAAUCGGAAUUACUGGGCGUAAAGCGUGCGCAGGCGGUUUGUUAAGACAGAUGUGAAAUCCCCGGGCUUAACCUGGGAACUGCAUUUGUGACUGGCAAGCUAGAGUAUGGCAGAGGGGGGUGGAAUUCCGCGUGUAGCAGUGAAAUGCGUAGAUAUGCGGAGGAACACCGGUGGCGAAGGCAGCCCCCUGGGCCAAUACUGACGCUCAUGCACGAAAGCGUGGGGAGCAAACAGGAUUAGAUACCCCCGUAGUCCCUGUCUCUUAUAC
rnacentral:rRNA from 1 species